ensembl:rRNA 5S_rRNA 5S ribosomal RNA
GUCUAAGGCGAUAGCGCCCUGAACUCGCCCUCUCAUCUGAUCUCGGAAGCUAAGCAGGGUCGGGCCUGGUUAGUACUUGGGUGGGAGACCGCCUGGACAUACCGGGUGCUGUAGGCU